UACGGGGGGAGCAAGCGUUGUUCGGAUUUACUGGGCGUAAAGGGCGCGUAGGCGGCCACCGCAAGUCGACUGUGAAAUCUCCGGGCUUAACCCGGAAAGGUCAGCCGAUACUGCGGGGCUAGAGUGCAGAAGGGGCAAUUGGAAUUCUCGGUGUAGCGGUGAAAUGCGUAGAUAUCGAGAGGAACACCUGCGGCGAAGGCGGGUUGCUGGGCUGACACUGACGCUGAUGCGCGAAAGCUAGGGGAGCGAACGGG
rnacentral:rRNA from 1 species